rnacentral:rRNA from 1 species
CCUACGGGAGGCAGCAGUGAGGAAUAUUGGUCAAUGGACGGAAGUCUGAACCAGCCAUGCCGCGUGCAGGAUGACGGCUCUAUGAGUUGUAAACUUCUUUUGUAUUUGUGUAAAAAACCCUACGUGUGGGCUCUUGGAAGUAUAAUACGAAUAAGGAUCGGCUACCUCCGUGCCAGCCGCCGCGGUAAUACGGAGGAUCGAAGCGUUAUCCGGAUUUAUUGGGUUUAAAGGGUGCGUAGGCGGUUCGAUAAGUUAGAGGUGAAAUACCGGUGCUCAAAACCCGAACUGCCUCUAAAACUGUUGAUCUAGAGUGUAGUUGAGGUAGGCGGAAUGUAUGGUGUAGCGGUGAAAUGCAUAGAGAUCAUACAGAACACCGAUUGCGAAGGCAGCUUACCAAACUAUAUCUGACGUUGAGGCACGAAAGCGUGGGUAGCAAACAGGAUGAGAUACCCCAGUAGUC